rnacentral:rRNA from 1 species
UACGUAGGUGGCAAGCGUUGUCCGGAUUUACUGGGCGUAAAGAGCGCGCAGGCGGUCGUUCAAGUCGAGUGUGAAAGCCCCCCGGCUCAACUGGGGAGGGUCACUCGAUACUGAUCGACUCGAAGGCAGGAGAGGGUAGUGGAAUUCCCGGUGUAGUGGUGAAAUGCGUAGAUAUCGGAAGGAAUAUCAGUGGCGAAGGCGACUUCCUGGACCAAUACUGACGCUCAGGUGCGAAAGCGUGGGGAGCAAACAGG